rnacentral:rRNA from 1 species
GACGAACGCUGGCGGCGUGCUUAACACAUGCAAGUCGAACGGUAAGGCCCUGCUUUUGUGGGGUGCUCGAGUGGAGAACGGGUGAGUAUCACGUGAGUAACCUGCCCUUUACUUUGGGAUAACUUCAGGAAACUGGGGCUAAUACCCGAUAGGAGCUCCUGCUGCAUGGUGGGGGUUGUAAAGUUUCGGCGGUUCGGGAUGGACGGGUGGUUUAUCAUUUUGUUGGUGGGGUAGUGGCUUACCAAGGCGUUGACGGGUAGCCGGCCUGGGAGGGUGACAGGCCACAUUGGGACUGAGAUACGGCCCAGAGUGAAACGGGAGGCAGCGGUGGGGGAUAGUGCACGAUGGGCGGAAGCAUGAUGCAGCGACGCCGGGUGGGGGAUGACGGCCGUCGGGUUGUAAAGCGCUUGCGCCUGGGAAGAAGAGUGAGUGACGGUAAUGGGUAAAGAAGCACCGGCUAACUACGUG